rnacentral:rRNA from 1 species
AUGGACCCAUCUCAGGGCAUGUGGCCUAACCCUAGCCGCCGCCUCCUCUCACACCCGCGUGGCCUCUCCGACCUGCUUCCUCUCCUCACCUCGCACCCCUCGCGCUGCCACCCUCCCAACCUCUCAUCUUCCAGCGCCUCCUCCCCGUCAGCUCGAUCUCUCCACUCCCAGCCGGUCAUCCUUCUCUUGCAUCGCCCGGAGGGGUGCAGCCGCCGCCGCUCGCAUUUGUUACUCCCCCUGCCCCCACCUUGCGAGCUCGCACAUCUGCUCCGCCCAGAGGCGUCGCCAUUGACCGCCGGAGGACCGUGCCGCAGCCAAACUCGAGGACAACCACUGCUAUGGCCCGUGGAGUUGCAAGUGGAAGCUGCGGCUUUUUCUUUAAUCGGCUUGUUGUCAUGCGUCCGUGGCUCCGUACAUGGCAAGGGUGAGAGUGAAUUUCAAACGGCUUAUGACAAAGGAAUGCCCAAAUCAAAGUUCUGGGAGCCUGCAUAUGAAGAUUGCUUAAAUAUGAUUGCUCUACCGCAUGAUCGGACGUUGCUGGUCGCCGGCUUGGCCUGCAAGAGGAUGCCCCCUGCUCUGACUUGUUCACAUCUUAGUGUUUCACCAAUGAAGAUGUAUUUUCAAGGUGUUAAGAGGAGGAGGAGGGGGGAGGUGCUAUUGCAGGCGAAGGAGGGGGUAGGAAACUGCUUGGGAGGAUACUUCAGCUCAGAGAAGGCAGCAGCAGCUCGUAGGAGCAAUGGAGGCGUGCUUCAUACAACAAAGAACCAGAGUCAUCGAUGCAGAGGAUCAUUAUCGCGUCCGCUGGCUGAGGGGCAAGCUGGGGCUGUAGUCCUUGAACAUAGUGGUUCUACUGUGAAGGCCUUGCAUUGGGACUCUGUGCCUCCUAAACUAACAACAAAUGAACUUGCCUUUAGGAUUUUUGCACUGCACUGUGCAUCCAGGUCCAACCCAAUGUACCUGGCAAAUGGCCAAUCGAGUAAAUGUGGGUUUGGUGCAUUGGCAAAGAAGACUAUGUACAACCUCUUCUUUUUGAAGCCCUCGGCCCCUCACGACCUGUUGAAGUUGAGGGCAGUAGCUCACACUGUGAGGGGCUUCAGCAACGGGGCCUAUUAUGCACAUGAUGGUGUGAUACUCUCCUGGGUAGAGCUCAUCCAUGGCUUGCGUGAGUAUCCCCAAAGGCGGGUGGUAUGGCAAGCCGCGGGGAGCUCAGGAUAGGGUCAGCAGCUUCAACAGUUUGAACUGCACCAAUGCAACUGUAUGUCUCUAGAGAUGUGUCAUUGGCUGAUGAGGUUAUCCCCACUAAAGCCAAGAAGGCCAGGCGCAACUAAAACCAGGAAGGCCAAUUCUUGUUAAGUGCUCGCCCUUUUGGACCUUAUCAUUUUGUCUGUGGAUGUGCGAAAGAAUGAUGUCUGGAUAUGGGAGUGUCUCUUUAGAUGUAGAUAUAGAUAGUGCCUCAAGCAACUAAACCGCAUAUGGGGUUUUAACAUUGUCUUUGGUGGAAAAGGCCCUCAAUUCUCGACCAUUGUUCUAUUUCCGAUUUCUUGCUUGGUUGUGUAGAUGUCGUGGGUAUUGUAGUCAAGGUUUCUGAUGUACUCUUGUUCCAGCCGCAACCAUGGCAAACUGUGACACUUACUAUGAAUCAGAAGUAGUUAUGUCUAUCUCUCUAUCUCUGUAUAUGAUUUGGGCAGCAUGUGUGCAUUGACCAUUCUGAUCUCUUUGCUUUCUCAUCCCCGACAUCCAGGAUACGUAGACGAGUAUGGCAUUCCUCAAAGGCGGGCGUACCGCGUACGUGGCCGUGUUGAAAGAGUUGUGGCCUCUGUCUCUGCCUCGAAUGUCGAUGAUGCCUCUAUGCUACCUAGCGGAUUCUCCCCGUUACCUGGACCUGCCUCUCCCGCAGUCAAAAUGUCCUUUUUAUUUAGUUUGUUCAGUGAAUGUUGGACUAGAUAAGAAGGCUUUAUUCACGCUGAAUCUGUACAACUAUGAACUAUUUGUGUAUUCUUUUGUUUAAGCUUUGAAAUGAGAGAAUGAAAUGUUGCGUUUGAGCAGUGGUGUUGCAUGUUUUUUCUUGCCGUUGAAUCACUGCAAGUAGAAUUGUCGGACACCAA